CUAGUAGCUGGUUCCUGCCGAAGUUUCCCUCAGGAUAGCAGUAACGUCUUCAGUUUUAUGAGGUAGAGCGAAUGAUUAGAGGCCUUGGGGUUGAAACAACCUUAACCUAUUCUCAAACUUUGAAUAUGUAAGAAGUCCUUGUUGCUUAGUUGAACGUGGACAUUUGAAUGCAUCGUUACUAGUGGGCCAUUUUUGGUAAGCAGAACUGGCGAUGCGGGAUGAACCGAACGCGAGGUUAAGGUGCCGGAAUGCACGCUCAUCAGACACCACAAAAGGUGUUAGUUCAUCUAGACAGCAGGACGGUGGCCAUGGAAGUCGGAAUCCGCUAAGGAGUGUGUAACAACUCACCUGCCGAAUGAACUAGCCCUGAAAAUGGAUGGCGCUCAAGCGUGCUACCCAUACCUCGCCGC
rnacentral:rRNA from 1 species